CCUACGGGAGGCAGCAGUGAGGAAUAUUGGUCAAUGGGCGUAAGCCUGAACCAGCCAAGUCGCGUGAGGGAUGAAGGUUCUAUGGAUCGUAAACCUCUUUUAUAAGGGAAUAAAGUGUGGGACGUGUCCUGUUUUGUAUGUACCAUAUGAAUAAGGAUCGGCUAACUCCGUGCCAGCAGCCGCGGUAAUACGGAGGAUCCGAGCGUUAUCCGGAUUUAUUGGGUUUAAAGGGUGCGUAGGCGGCCUGUUAAGUCAGUUGGGAAAGUUUGUGGCUCAACCAUAGAAUUGCGGUUGAAACUGGGAGGCUUGAGUAUAGUAGAGGCAGGCGGAAUUCGUGGUGUAGCGGUGAAAUGCUUAGAUAUUACGCAGAACCCCGAUUGCGAAGGCAGCCUGCCAGGCCAUAACUGACGCUGAUGCACGAAAGCGUGGGGAUCAAACAGGAUUAGAUACCCUUGUAGUC
rnacentral:rRNA from 1 species